rnacentral:lncRNA from 1 species
CCCCGUACGCACAUUCAAUGGUGCUCCAAGGUCCUUGUUAAGAAUAUAAGGAAUUCAUUCUUUUUAUAGGUCGCGAUAAAGACUCUGAUUAUUAAAAGAGAAACCACAAACGUCAUUACAAUUCUCUACGUAAUCGAUCCCUCUAAAAUAUGCGCAGCUUCUCGUAGAUUAUUCCGUUUGCGCGUCUUUUUGGUUUUUUGAACCGUCGUCACCUCAACCUUUUUAUCCCCUUGAGCGUCAUCAUGACGUCUUCAUUGUCGUCAAGCACUCGUCCAUUUUUUCUCCAUGACGCUGAAAAUAACCCUUAUGUAACAACCCCUCGAAAUGUGUACACUCUUUUUGCCCAAACGAUAAAGAAACUCUCUGCCUUGCAAAUCAUCUAAAAGCAAUGUGAUGUGUUUAAGUGUUGGUGGCGGUGUGGGUGUGAUGGUGGCUGGGAAUGCUAGGAAUCUGUUGAUGUUACAAGAAAAUCGUACGAUGGAAAGGUUAUCGUGCUGUAAUCACGAGUGCGUCUGUGAAGCGGGCGUACUUUCGUCAGCUAUAAUAAUGUUUUACGAAAACUGAUUGUAACUAAAGAAAGACUAAAGGCCACCAAUAACGUUGCUGUUUGUUUACUUUUUCUGGGGAAAUUAAAAGAGGCCCUACAGGUCCUGGAGAGCAUCAUCUGGUCCAACCCACCCAAGAACCUAAACGACGGUCUUCUCUUUAAUCUGUGCACAAUAUACGAACUGGAAUCAUCUUGGAGCUUGCAGAAGAAACAGAAAUUACUCGAACUUGUUUCUCAGUACAAAGGAGAUGGUUUUAAUGUCUCAUGUUUGAAAAUUUCUUGAUGGUAGUAGCAACAACCGUGAUGGCCGGCGUAACUUCUAUCUAUAGGAUAAUUAUACUGGAAUUAUUAUGCUUUGUGAGAGUUUUUAUGCCAAAAAACAGAGACAACGGUAUACACGUCUUUGAAAAUAACCAAAAGCAGUUUGUUAUACUAAACAAAUCAGCAAGGAAUUACACCAUUGAUGUUUUAUGCGAAAGGAUUUGUUAGACAAAAUAAUGAUAGUAGCAGUCGCCAUAUUUCUGUGAUUGAUGUUAUAUAGUAUUAUCAUAACACCUGUUGAUUCGACUAGUUAUCCCAGGCGCCUGUGUCUCUUCAUUGUUUACUGGUUGCCACCUGAGGCUAUACUUCCAAAUGCUCCACAGUUUUCAAAAGGUAAUUUGUCUUAUCGUAAAGAUUUUGUCACUUCAGAGAUAUGUGGUUUUUCAGAUGGAAGAUACAAGCGAAUAGGGCGAGAAUUAGAGAAAGAUUCCGAAUUUGAUUCCACGCAAAUUAGGUGGUCGUGAUUUAUGAGGACAUCGAUGACAAGAUAUGGGGAGGGGUAAUGUCAUAGCUCUAAAGCUUUGUUGAAGGCGGUUAUCAAAUCAUAGAAUGACAUAUUGGGUUGAUGGGGGAAAGGGGAAAUAGGUUCUCGAGAGACAAUCCAAUGUAAACUUAUUUCUAAGGAGCCAAUAAAAUACAUUAUCGUUGACAAUCCCUCAAAUUUUACGGCCUAUCACGCUAUUUUAUCCAAUUAAAUGAGAGCCACUUUUA